CAAGCGCGCCGUCCGUGGCCUCCACGGUCCGGAAGUGCCCGUGAGCCUGCCAUGCCGCGUGUGUCGUCGUAACUCUGCAAAGCGGGCGGCCUCACCCAGCUUACAGGCUUUGGCAGAGCGAGGCCACGUCUACCCAGAUUCCUGUCUCCCAUCGACCCGGUCUCCUGUUGGCUGUGAGUUUGUGGCCAAAGUUGGACUCUCACCCACAAGCUGUCCCCGGGAAAGUACAAAAACCGACCACAGGCCCGGGGUCUGUCCCUCUUCUGCAUUUCCUGCGUAAACGGCCACUCCCUCCCCCUCUUGCCGGAUCUCUUCCGCAGAGCGUUAUCUGCCGACGGU